rnacentral:rRNA from 1 species
ACAUUGCGGCAGCUACACAUGCAAGUCGAGCGGAACGAGUUAUCUGAACCUUCGGGGAACGAUAACGGCGUCGAGCGGCGGACGGGUGAGUAAUGCCUAGGAAAUUGCCCUGAUGUGGGGGAUAACCAUUGGAAACGAUGGCUAAUACCGCAUAAUGCCUUCGGGCCAAAGAGGGGGACCUUCGGGCCUCUCGCGUCAGGAUAUGCCUAGGUGGGAUUAGCUAGUUGGUGAGGUAAGGGCUCACCAAGGCGACGAUCCCUAGCUGGUCUGAGAGGAUGAUCAGCCACACUGGAACUGAGACACGGUCCAGACUCCUACGGGAGGCAGCAGUGGGGAAUAUUGCACAAUGGGCGCAAGCCUGAUGCAGCCAUGCCGCGUGUGUGAAGAAGGCCUUCGGGUUGUAAAGCACUUUCAGUCGUGAGGAAGGUGGUAGUGUUAAUAGCACUAUCAUUUGACGUUAGCGACAGAAGAAGCACCGGCUAACUCCGUGCCAGCAGCCGCGGUAAUACGGAGGGUGCGAGCGUUAAUCGGAAUUACUGGGCGUAAAGCGCAUGCAGGUGGUUUGUUAAGUCAGAUGUGAAAGCCCGGGGCUCAACCUCGGAAUUGCAUUUGAAACUGGCAGACUAGAGUACUGUAGAGGGGGGUAGAAUUUCAGGUGUAGCGCUGAAAUGCGUAGAGAUCUGAAGGAAUAUCGGUGGCGAAAGCGGCCCCCUGGACAGAUACUGACACUCAGAUGCUAAAUCAUGGGGAGCAAACAUGAUUAUAUACCCUGGCAGUCCACGCCGCAGACGAUGUCUACUUGGAUGUUGUGACCUAUGAACCUAGCCUUUCCCGAGCUCACACGUUUAAGUAAAGAGCCUAGGGAAUUACGGUCGCUAGAUUAAAAACUCUACUCGAUUUGACGGGGGGUCCCGCAGACGCGGGGGGAGGACGGGGGUUUAAUUUCGAUGCG